CGCUUUUUUCAGNAACCCUGGCGGCAUUUUUUUAGGCAUGAAGUCGCACGAGAAGAAGCUUUUGCUUGCAUUGGCUUCGGCACAGUGGCGAAAGGGAGAGUAACGCGUAGUUUACGUGCCCUCGGGACCGGGAUAGCGUUGGGAAACCGGCGGUAAUACUGGAUAACAUCUACGGAUCAAAUGGUGUGAUUCCGCCCGAGGAUCGGACUGCGUACUAUUAGCUUGUUGGCGGGGUAAUGGCCCACCAAGGCUGCGAUGGUUACCGGGUGUGAGAGCGUGGCCCGGCUCACUGGGACUGAGACACUGCCCAGACAUCUACGGAUGGCUGCAGUCGAGAAUCUUCGGCAAUGGACGCAAGUCUGACCGAGCGAUGCCGCGUGCGGGAUGAAGGCCCUCGGGUUGUAAACCGCUGUCAGUUGUUAGGAAAUCCUAUCGGGUUCUCUCGGUAGGUUGACCGAUCUUCAGAGGAAGUACGGGCUAAGUUCGUGCCAGCAGCCGCGGUAACACGAACCGUACGAACGUUAUUCGGUAUCACUGGGCUUAAAGCGUGCGUAGGCGGCCAGGAAGGUCAGAGGUGAAAUCCCACCGCUCAACCCGUGGAACUGCCUUUGAAGCCACUUGGCUUGAGGAAGACAGGGGUGAUGGGAACUUAUGGGUGG
rnacentral:rRNA from 1 species